AGAGUUUGAUCAUGGCUCAGAUUGAACGCUGGCGGAAUGCUUUACACAUGCAAGUCGAGCGGCAGCGCGGGGGCAACCCUGGCGGCGAGCGGCGAACGGGUGAGUAACACAUAGGAACAUGCCCAGUAAUGGGGGAUAACGCCGAGAAAUCGGUGCUAAUACCGCAUACGCCCUGAGGGGGAAAGCGGGGGAUCUUCGGACCUCGCGUUAUUGGAUUGGCCUAUGUCUGAUUAGCUAGUUGGUGAGGUAAAGGCUCACCAAGGCUUCGAUCAGUAGCUGGUCUGAGAGGAUGAUCAGCCACACUGGAACUGAGACACGGUCCAGACUCCUACGGGAGGCAGCAGUGGGGAAUUUUGGACAAUGGGCGCAAGCCUGAUCCAGCCAUUCCGCGUGAGUGAAGAAGGCCUUCGGGUUGUAAAGCUCUUUCGGCAGGAAAGAAAUCGCCAUACCUAAUACGUGUGGUGGAUGACGGUACCUGAAGAAGAAGCACCGGCUAACUACGUGCCAGCAGCCGCGGUAAUACGUAGGGUGCGAGCGUUAAUCGGAAUUACUGGGCGUAAAGCGUGCGCAGGCGGUUUCGCAAGUCAGAUGUGAAAGCCCCGGGCUUAACCUGGGAAUUGCGUUUGAAACUGCGAGGCUAGAGUGUGUCAGAGGGGGGUAGAAUUCCACGUAGCAGUGAAAUGCGUAGAGAUGUGGAGGAAUACCGAUGGCGAAGGCAGCCCCCUGGGAUAACACUGACGCUCAUGCACGAAAGCGUGGGGAGCAAACAGGAUUAGAUACCCUAGUAGUCC
rnacentral:rRNA from 1 species